GCUGGUGUGGCGGAAUGGUAGACGCAAGGGACUUAAAAUCCCUCGUUCGCAAGGACGUGCCGGUUCGAGUCCGGCCACCAGCACCA
rnacentral:tRNA from 1 species